UUGAACGCUGGCGGCAUGCUUUACACAUGCAAGUCGAACGGUAACAGGCCUUCGGGUGCUGACGAGUGGCGAACGGGUGAGUAAUGCAUCGGAACGUACCCAGAGGUGGGGGAUAACGCAGCGAAAGCUGUGCUAAUACCGCAUGUGAUCUGAGGAUGAAAGCGGGGGACCGAGCAGCAAUGUUUGGCCUCGCGCCUUUGGAGCGGCCGAUGUCGGAUUAGCUAGUUGGUGGGGUAAAGGCCUACCAAGGCGACGAUCCGUAGCUGUUCUGAGAGGACGACCAGCCACACUGGGACUGAGACACGGCCCAGACUCCUACGGGAGGCAGCAGUGGGGAAUUUUGGACAAUGGGCGCAAGCCUGAUCCAGCAAUGCCGCGUGCGGGAAGAAGGCCUUCGGGUUGUAAACCGCUUUUGGCAGGAACGAAACGGUGUCCGCUAAUACCGGGCGCUAAUGACGGUACCUGCAGAAUAAGCACCGGCUAACUACGUG
rnacentral:rRNA from 1 species